GAGUUUGAUCAUGGCUCAGAUUGAACGCUGGCGGAAUGCUUUACACAUGCAAGUCGAGCGGCAGCGCGGUCUUCGGACUGGCGGCGAGCGGCGAACGGGUGAGUAAUACAUCGGAACAUGCCCAGUCGUGGGGGAUAACACUUCGAAAGAAGUGCUAAUACCGCAUACGUCCUGAGGGAGAAAGCGGGGGAUCGCAAGACCUCGCGCGAUUGGAGUGGCCGAUGUCAGAUUAGCUAGUUGGUGGGGUAAAGGCCUACCAAGGCAACGAUCUGUAGCUGGUCUGAGAGGAUGAUCAGCCACACUGGGACUGAGACACGGCCCAGACUCCUACGGGAGGCAGCAGUGGGGAAUUUUGGACAAUGGGGGCAACCCUGAUCCAGCCAUUCCGCGUGAGUGAAGAAGGCCUUCGGGUUGUAAAGCUCUUUCGGCAGGAACGAAACGGCGAGCUCUAACAUAGCUCGCUAAUGACGGUACCUGAAGAAGAAGCACCGGCUAACUACGUGCCAGCAGCCGCGGUA
rnacentral:rRNA from 1 species